rnacentral:rRNA from 1 species
UACGUAGGUGGCAAGCGUUGUCCGGAAUUAUUGGGCGUAAAGCGCGCGCAGGUGGUUCUUUAAGUCUGAUGUGAAAGCCUCCGGCUCAACCGGAGAGGGUCAUUGGAAACUGGGGAACUUGAGUGCAGAAGAGGAUAGUGGAAUUCCAAGUGUAGCGGUGAAAUGCGUAGAGAUUUGGAGGAACACCAGUGGCGAAGGCGACUAUCUGGUCUGUAACUGACACUGAGGCGCGAAAAGCGUGGGGAGCAAACAGG